rnacentral:rRNA from 1 species
AUUGAACGCUGGCGGCAGGCCUAACACAUGCAAGUCGAACGAGUGGCGGACGGGUGAGUCAUGUCUGGGAAACUGCCUGCUGGAGGGGGAUAACUACUGGAAACGGUAGCUAAUACCGCAUACCAUCGGAUGUGCCCAGAUGGGAUUAGCUAGUAGGUGGGGUAAAGGCUCACCUAGGCGACGAUCCCUAGCUGGUCUGAGAGGAUGACCAGCAACACUGAGACGGAGACACGGUCCAGACUCCUACGGGAGACAGCAGUGGGGAAUAUUGCACAAUGGGCGCAAGCCUGAUGCAGCCAUGCCGCGUGUAUGAAGAAGGCCUUCGGGUUGUAAAGUACUUUAAGCGAGGAGGCGUUACUCGCAGAAGAAGCACCGGCUAACUCCGUGCCAGCAGCCGCGGUAAUAC